AGUGAACGCUGGCGGUGGGCCUAACACAUGCAAGUCGAACGGGAGCACAGUAAGAGCUUGCUCUUACGUGUGUCGAGUGGCGGACGGGUGAGGAAUACAUCGGAUUCUACUUUUUCGUGGGGGCUAACGUAGGGAAACUUACGCUAAUCAAGGAUACGACCUACGGGUGAAAGCAGGGGAUCUUCGGACCUUUCGCGAGUGAAUGAGCCGAUGUCGGAUUAGCUCGUUGGCGGGGCAAAGGCCCACCAAGGCGACGCUCCGUAGCUGGUCUGAGAGGAUGAUCCGCCAGACUGGAACUGAGACACAGUCCAGACUCCGACGGGAGGCAGCAGUGGGGAAUAUUGGACGAUGGGCGAGAGCCUGAUCCAGCCAUACCGCGUAAGUGAAGAAGGCCUUCGGGUUGUAAAGCCCUUUUGUUGGGAAAGAAAAGCAGCAGUUUAACACCCCGCGGUUCUGACGGUACCCAAAGAAUAAGCACCGGCUAACUUCGUG
rnacentral:rRNA from 1 species